rnacentral:rRNA from 1 species
AUCUAUGGCCAUAUCACCCUGAACGCACCUGAUCUCGGAAGCUAAGCAGGGUCAGGCCCGGUUAGUACUUGGAUGGGAGACAGUUUGUCACACACAUGCACCUAAGCUG